CCCUGCUCCAGCGUCCGGUGGCCCUGGGAGGUAUGGAAAUACCGCAGAUAUCGGAAUAUUACAGGACAGCACUUUUGACACAUACUGUCAAUUUACACACAUCCCCAGAAACACUUAAGUGCGUGGAUGUGGAACAGGCUCAGCUUCUCAAUGUGUCCCUCAUGGCCUAUUUAUGAACCCCCUCAAAGUGGCAAGACAAACUAUACCCAACUGCAAGGCAUCACUUCUGGUUUGGGACUCAAUGGUUAGUAUGUUAGAAGCUCCAGACAAAUGUAAACAUGUUGCCCCUUUAUCAGCGCUGUUAC